CAUCUGUGUUUCUAAUAAAAUUCUGGAACAACUUCAGUGAUGAUCUGAAGACCCAUAUGGAUGUUAUUGUCAUCCUCCUGCUUGCCAUAGGACUCUCUGGGAAUUGAGAUGAAGACUAAUGAAGAGCAAGAGGAAGGAGGGGGUACCCAUUCUGCUACCACUGCAACUGAAUAAUACAUGUCCAUUUGACAAGCAAUGCUCAGAGAUCAUCUUACAGAACAGAAUAUGACUAAGAUAGGAAUAUUACUUGUAAGGAAGACAGAUCCCACCUUCAUUCAGAGUAAUUUGAAGAGUUUCUAUUUUUAGCCUCAUUAUUAGCACAACAUCCACUCACAUUAUUAAAAUCAUGUUGGGAGUACUUAUUCUCUUAGAACUAUUUCAUCAAGGUCACCUUAUAUCUUUGUAUCUGGUGA